GACGAACGCUGGCGGCGUGCUUAACACAUGCAAGUCGAACGGAGUGGCGAACGGGUGAGUAACCCGUGGGUGACCUGCCCUGCACUUCGGGAUAAGCCUGGGAAACUGGGUCUAAUACCGGAUAGUGGGGGAUGGGCCCGCGGCGUAUCAGCUUGUGGGUGGGGUAAUGGCCUACCCAGGCGGCGACGGGUAGCCGGACUGGGAGGGUGGACGGCCACAUUGGGACUGUGACACGGCACAGACUCCUACGGGAGGCAGCAGUGCGGAAGAUUGCACAAUGGGCGGAAGCCUGAUGCAGCGACGCGGCGUGGGGGAUGACGGUCUUCGGGUUGUAAACUCCUUUCACCAUCGACGCGGUAGAUGGAGAAGAAGCACCGGCUAACUACGUGCCAGCAGCCGCGGUAAUAC
rnacentral:rRNA from 1 species